CCAAUACUGGCACAUAGCACAAUCACGCUGCUCAAAGAUGAGUGAUCGUGAUGGUAGGAAUGAGUUAAGCCACAGCAACUUAACUUCAAAUACAAGAACAACAGCUGAUUGGCAACACUGAAGGUCAUGCUAUUUUGAAUACACAAAGUCCUAUCGAACCGUGAUGAAGAAUUCUACCUCUACCACCCUUUAAAACGGCAGCCAAAAAACAAAGAAACGAAAUAGCCCCCAUUAAAGAUACCCACACUACCAGACAUGCAAACAAUAACAUAGUAAACACACGGAACAUUAACCGCAGAGUCCCCGACGGUGAGUUCACAGCCACAGAGCCAGUUCAGCAGUGAGGCAAGUGAAGCUGCCCCGGGUCCCAGUGGC